rnacentral:rRNA from 1 species
UUGAACGCUGGCGGCAUGCUUUACACAUGCAAGUCGGACGGCAGCGGGGUAGUGCUUGCACUACUGCCGGCGAGUGGCGAACGGGUGAGUAAUAUAUUGGAACGUACCGAGUAAUGGGGGAUAACCAAUCGAAAGAUUGGCUAAUACCGCAUACGCUCUGAGGAGGAAAGCAGGGGACCUUCGGGCCUUGCGUUAUUCGAGCGGCCAAUAUCUGAUUAGCUAGUUGGUGGGGUAAGGGCCUACCAAGGCGACGAUCAGUAGCGGUUCUGAGAGGAUGAUCCGCCACACUGGGACUGAGACACGGCCCAGACUCCUACGGGAGGCAGCAGUGGGGAAUUUUGGACAAUGGGCGCAAGCCUGAUCCAGCCAUGCCGCGUGUCUGAAGAAGGCCUUCGGGUUGUAAAGGACUUUUGUUAGGGAAGAAAAAGGAGCGGUUAAUACCCGUUUCUGCUGACGGUACCUAAAGAAUAAGCACCGGCUAACUACGUG